rnacentral:rRNA from 1 species
GACGAACGCUGGCGGCGUGCUUAACACAUGCAAGUCGAGCGGAAAGGCCCUUUCGGGGGUACUCGAGCGGCGAACGGGUGAGUAACACGUGAGUAAUCUGCCCUUCACUUUGGGAUAACCCCCGGAAACGGGAGCUAAUACCGGAUAUGACCGGCAACCGCAUGGUUUGUUGGUGGAAACUUUUUUGGGUGGGGGAUGUGCUCGCGGCCUAUCAGCUUGUUGGUGGGGUAAUGGCCUACCAAGGCUUUGACGGGUAGCCGGCCUGAGAGGGUGACCGGCCACACUGGGACUGAGACACGGCCCAGACUCCUACGGGAGGCAGCAGUGGGGAAUAUUGGACAAUGGGCGGAAGCCUGAUCCAGAAACGCCGCGUGAGGGAUGACGGCCUUCGGGUUGUAAACCUGUUUCAGCACCGACGAAGCGUGAGUGACGGUAGGUGCAGAAGAAGGACCGGCCAACUACGUGCCAGCCGCCGCGGUAAUAC